rnacentral:rRNA from 1 species
AUUGAACGCUGGCGGCAGGCCUAACACAUGCAAGUCGAACGGUAGCACAGAGAGCUUGCUCUCGGGUGACGAGUGGCGGACGGGUGAGUAACGUCUGGGAAACUGCCCGAUGGAGGGGGAUAACUACUGGAAACGGUAGCUAAUACCGCAUAACGUCGCAAGACCAAAGUGGGGGACCUUCGGGCCUCACACCAUCGGAUGUGCCCAGAUGGGAUUAGCUCGUAGGUGGGUUACUGGCUCACCUAGGCGACGAUCCCUAGCUGGUCUGAGAGGAUGACCAGCCACACUGGAACUGAGACACGGUCCAGACUCCUACGGGAGGCAGCAGUGGGGAAUAUUGCACAAUGGGCGCAAGCCUGAUGCAGCCAUGCCGCGUGUAUGAAGAAGGCCUUCGGGUUGUAAAGUACUUUCAGCGGGGAGGAAGGCGGUGAAGUUAAUAACUUCACCGAUUGACGUUACCCGCAGAAGAAGCACCGGCUAACUCCGUGCCAGCCGCCGCCGUAA